AGACGUGCGCAAGGGAGAACAAGGCGGGGACGGGGGUUUGCACUCACUCCCUCAGUCCUGCAGCUAUAAAACUCCAGGUACCUGCUGCACCGACGCCAGGCUCAGAAGAAUCAGCUGGACAUCUGUGGCUACCGUCUGCACUGCACCAACGCUGAACGCCCCCGAGCCAUGGAUCCCCCAAAACUGCAGCUGCCCUGCUGGGGGCCCUUGCACCUGUUCUGGCAAUUGCAAAUGCAAAGACUGCAAAUGCACUUCUUGCCAGAAAGGAGGCCGCACUACCUGCUGCCCUGCUCAGUGUCCUAAGUGUUCCAAGGAGUGCACUUGCAAAGGCCAUGACAAAGGCAGCUGCUGCCAUUGAGAGAGCUGCUGGCUUCUUGUAAAUAUAACCAUUGUUUCCUAGAGGCAUGAGUGAUGUACCUUGCCUGCCCUAAAAUGUGUUCAUGUGUUUUCAAAUGACAAUAAACUCAGUGAACAAAAUAAA